GGGGGUGCACUGGCUUCGACGGGGGUCGCGAAAUCGCCUGGUGCAUGCCGAGGGGGCAGCUUUCCUCGUAAAUCCAGCGGCAAACUUCUAGUUGCCAACGACGACAACUACGCUCUCGCCGCUUAAGGCGUAAGCCCCGAACCCAGUCUGUGUCCGUGCUAGUGGGUGUAGGGUCAUCAUCACGGAAGCGAUCGCGGUGGCUGCCUGCCAGCCGCGGUUCUAAUCAAGCAGGCUGGCCCCUGGAUGCGCUUUGCGCGCCGUGCUGUCCAGGGGCGAGAUCCAACGGCGCGCUAAGCAUGUAGGACCGGGGAUGGAGUGCCUUCGGACGGCGGUUCGAUUCCGCCCACCUCCACCA
rnacentral:tmRNA from 1 species